rnacentral:rRNA from 1 species
GACGAACGCUGGCGGCGUGCUUAACACAUGCAAGUCGAACGGUAAGGCCCUUCGGGGUACACGAGUGGCGAACGGGUGAGUAACACGUGGGUGAUCUGCCCUGCACUUCGGGAUAAGCCUGGGAAACUGGGUCUAAUACCGGAUAGGACCACUGCCUGCAUGGGUGGUGGUGGAAAGCUUUUGCGGUGUGGGAUGGGCCCGCGGCCUAUCAGCUUGUUGGUGGGGUGAUGGCCUACCAAGGCGACGACGGGUAGCCGGCCUGAGAGGGUGACCGGCCACACUGGGACUGCGAUACGGCCCAGACUCCUACGGGAGGCAGCAGUGGGGAAUAUUGCACAAUGGGCGCAAGCCUGAUGCAGCGACGCCGCGUGAGGGAUGACGGCCUUCGGGUUGUAAACCUCCUUCAGCACCGACGAAGCGCAAGUGACGGUAGGUGCAGAAGAAGGACCGGCCAACUACGUGCCAGCCGCCGCAGUAA